GACGAACGCUGGCGGCGUGCUUAACACAUGCAAGUCGAGCGAGUUGAUUCCCUUCGGGGAUGAAGCUAGCGGCGGACGGGUGAGUAACACGUGGGCAACCUGCCUUAUAGAGGGGGAUAGCCUUCCGAAAGGAGGAUUAAUACCGCAUAACAUCAGAUUAUCGCAUGGUAGACUGAUCAAAGGAGCAAUCCGCUAUAAGAUGGGCCCGCGUCGCAUUAGCUAGUUGGUGAGGUAACGGCUCACCAAGGCGACGAUGCGUAGCCGACCUGAGAGGGUGAUCGGCCACAUUGGGACUGAGACACGGCCCAGACUCCUACGGGAGGCAGCAGUGGGGAAUAUUGCACAAUGGGGGAAACCCUGAUGCAGCAACGCCGCGUGAGUGAUGAAGGCCUUCGGGUUGUAAAGCUCUUUGAUCAGGGACGAUAAUGACGGUACCUGAAGAACAAGCCACGGCUAACUACGUGCCAGCCGCCGCCGUAAUAC
rnacentral:rRNA from 1 species